UACGUAGGGGGCAAGCGUUGUCCGGAAUUAUUGGGCGUAAAGAGCGCGUAGGCGGUCCGAUAAGUCGGCUGUGAAAGUCAGGGGCUCAACCCUUGGAAGCCGGCCGAUACUGUCGGACUAGAGUCCGGAAGAGGCGAGUGGAAUUCCCGGUGUAGCGGUGAAAUGCGCAGAUAUCGGGAGGAACACCAAUGGCGAAGGCAGCACUCUGGGACGUGACUGACGCUGAGACGCGAAAGCGUGGGGAGCGAACAGG
rnacentral:rRNA from 1 species